GGGGGUAGAUGAGUUCUGGUGGGCUCUCUAGUCUUCAAAACUAGCGUGGGGGGUUAGUAGCUUCUUAGGUGGGUUCGAUUCCCACAUACUCCCGCCA
rnacentral:tRNA from 1 species